ACUCCUACGGGAGGCAGCAGUGGGGAAUAUUGCACAAUGGGGGAAACCCUGAUGCAGCCAUGCCGCGUGUGUGAAGAAGGCCUUCGGGUUGUAAAGCACUUUCAGUAGGGAGGAAGGUAGUGUAGUUAACACCUGCAUUAUUUGACGUUACCUACAGAAGAAGCACCGGCUAACUCCGUGCCAGCAGCCGCGGUAAUACGGAGGGUGCGAGCGUUAAUCGGAAUUACUGGGCGUAAAGCGCAUGCAGGCGGCCUGUUAAGUCAGAUGUGAAAGCCCGGGGCUUAAACCUCGGAAAUUGCAUUUGAAACUGGCAGGCUAGAGUCUUGUAGAGGGGGGUAGAAUUUCAGGUGUAGCGGUGAAAAUGCGUAGAGAUCUG
rnacentral:rRNA from 1 species